rnacentral:rRNA from 1 species
GAUGAAGGUCUUCGGAUCGUAAAGGUUUGUUGUUAAGGAAGAACAAAUUCCAGAGUAACUGCUUGCACCUUGACGGUACCUAACCAGAAAGUCACGGUUAAUUACGUGCCAGCAGUCGCGGUAUUACGUAGGGGGCAAGCGUCGUCCGGAAUUAUUUGGCGUAAAGGGCUCGCAGGCGUUUUUUAAGUCUGAUGUGAAAGCCCCCGGCUCAACCGGGGAGGGUCAUUGGAAACUGGGAAACCUGAGUGCAGAAGAGGAGAGUGGAAUUUCACGUGUAGCGGUGAAAUGCGUAGAGAUGUGGAGGAACACCAGUGGCGAAGGCGACUCUCUGGUCUGUAACUGACGCUGAGGAGCGAAAGCGUGGGGAGCGAACAGGAUUAGAUACCCUGGUAGUCCACGCCGUAAACGAUGAGUGCUAAGUGUUAGGGGGUUUCCGCCCCUUAGUGCUGCAGCUAACGCAUUAAGCACUCCGCCUGGGGAGUACGGUCGCAAGACUGAAACUCAAAGGAAUUGACGGGGGCCCGCACAAGCGGUGGAGCAUGUGGUUUAAUUCGAAGCAACGCGAAGAACCUUACCAGGUCUUGACAUCCUUUGACAACCCUAGAGAUAGGGCUUUCCCUUCGGGGACAGAGUGACAGGUGGUGCAUGGUUGUCGUCAGCUCGUGUCGUGAGAUGUUGGGUUAAGUCCCGCAACGAGCGCAACCCUUGAUUUUAGUUGCCAGCAUUCAGUUGGGCACUCUAAGGUGACUGCCGGUGACAAACCGGAGGAAGGUGGGGAUGACGUCAAAUCAUCAUGCCCCUUAUGACCUGGGCUACACACGUGCUACAAUGGACAGAACAAAGGGCUGCAAGACCGCAAGGUUUAGCCAAUCCCAUAAAUCUGUUCUCAGUUCGGAUCGCAGUCUGCAACUCGACUGCGUGAAGCUGGAAUCGCUAGUAAUCGCGGAUCAGCAUGCCGCGGUGAAUACGUUCCCGGGCCUUGUACACACCGCCCGUCACACCACGAGAGUUUGCAACACCCGAAGUCGGUGAGGUAACCUUUAUGGAGCCAGCCGCCGAAGGUGGGGCAGAUGAUUGGGGUGAAGUCGUAACAAGGAGCCGUUGAGGCU